rnacentral:hammerhead_ribozyme from 1 species
CACUGCCCGAAGAGUCCCAAACAGGACGAAACAGCUGUCCAGUG